rnacentral:lncRNA from 1 species
AUGGAAAUGAAACCACCAGCUCCUCCCCAGACUGUGAGGCUUGAUGGACGCGAGCUUAAUGAACCCAGGAUAAAGGAAUUAGCCCAAGCAGAAGGCAGAAAAAGCAUUAAGAGACUCCCUCGGACCGUCAACCCCCUUCUGGUAUCCUCGGCCACACCAUGUCCCCAGAUGUACUGCUUCUUUCUAGAAUUAACAAAAAAGUCUGAGAAGCUAAAUUUAACUUGCAUACCCUGGAAAAACGGUAAACUUCAGGUCACCAAGCCCAGCAUCUCACAGGUGUCUUACCCAACAACAGCCCUCUGCUUCUAACCACACAAAGGGGCCCAGGACCACACACAUUUAGGACACUGAACAUGCUUUAUCUUCUUCUUGGGGACUCCUAACCUUAACGCAUCAAAUCCUGGAGCACGGAAGACGUUUUCUUGAUGGAGGAGAGGGUCUUUCCUUCGCAGGCAGCGGCCCCGCCUCCUCCUCGUGAAACGAGCUAAUCCACGUAAGAGGACUUAAAGCGGGUUCUAUAUAAGCAAUGAGAAUCGUGCUCCCAUCAUCUCCACCUGAAAACAAGGCUCCCAGAGCACACGGGGUUGCACGGGCAGCCAGGCGUGGGCCAAACUUCCAGAAACCCCUAGGUACCAGCGAAAAGGCUGGCUGGGAAAAAGGCAGAGAUUUUCAAUCGGGCAGUUACAGGUCAGGCUCUACCUAACCUUUCUGUGUCUCCGUUAUUUCAUCAUAAGAUGAGGACUAGAUAGGCCCUUCCUCUUACGUGUGUGGCGACUCAGGGAGCAAAGAGCUCAGCAGGUGUGGGCUGUUAUCCUCAGAAGGUCAAGGGACGGCACCUGCCCAACUCAGGGCUGUGACCCCACCCAGGAAACCAUUAACUUCCCCAAAGGCAUCCCAGAAGCCAUUCUGGGGACGAGUAAAACUUCUUCAUUUAUUUGGUCCAAACAUAUUUGUAAGGUUAAUCUUCUCAUUCCUUCUGGGGUGGAGACGGGGUGUCUGUUGAAGCAGCAAUAAAGGAAGGAAUUGACUGGAUGAAAAAGCCUCUGGAGAAGAGUGAAGGAAAUCUCUGGAAAAGGCCACAGACGACUCCCUCCCCUUUGCAGGAGCGCGUCUGAGAUGUGACCUCUGCNNNNNNNNNNNNNNNNNNNNNNNNNNNNNNNNNNNNNNNNNUGGCAAGGUGGCCAUGGGCCAAGCGAGGGCAGGCAUGUCAAGGUGAAAAUGGGUACAUAUAAGGGACACUACUCAUUUCUCAGGAUUCCACAUAAUCCUUUACAUGAAUUCGACCUGCUUCCAUUCCAGUAACUGUCUCAUUCCAUAACUGUUUAAUCUGAAGGCGUAAGAGAUAUUUCUCUGGAAAAAUACUGAGCAAUCAGAAGCCCUUCCCUCUU